CUUAUGAACAAUAAUAAUUAUUUUUUCAACAUCCCCAAAUCCAGCACAGUGCGCUGGAUUUGGGGAGGUUGAAAAAAUAAAUU
rfam:Oryzias latipes DNA, scaffold791, strain: Hd-rR.